GACGAACGAGGGAGGCGUGCUUAACACAUGCAAGUCGAACGGAAAGGCCCUGCUUUUGUGGGGUGCUCGAGUGGCGAACGGGUGAGUAACACGUGAGUAACCUGCCCUUGACUUUGGGAUAACUUCAGGAAACUGGGGCUAAUACCGGAUAGGAGCUCCUGCUGCAUGGUGGGGGUUGGAAAGUUUCGGCGGUUGGGGAUGGACUCGCGGCUUAUCAGCUUGUUGGUGGGGUAGUGGCUUACCAAGGCUUUGACGGGUAGCCGGCCUGAGAGGGUGACCGGCCACAUUGGGACUGAGAUACGGCCCAGACUCCUACGGGAGGCAGCAGUGGGGAAUAUUGCACAAUGGGCGGAAGCCUGAUGCAGCAACGCCGCGUGCGGGAUGACGGCCUUCGGGUUGUAAACCGCUUUCGCCUGUGACGAAGCGUGAGUGACGGUAAUGUGUAAAGAAGCACCGGCUAACUACGUG
rnacentral:rRNA from 1 species